rnacentral:rRNA from 1 species
CUGCGGAAGGAUCAUUAUUAUAAUGCGUGGAAAAGCCCCCUUACAGGGGCUCUCUAGAAAACUCUAAACUUACUGUCUGAGAAGGCUACGUGCCAUAAUCUUUAAAUAUUUUAAAACCUUCAACAACGGAUCUCUUGGUUCUCGCAUCGAUGAAGAACGCAGCGAAAUGCGAUAAGUAAUGUGAAUUGCAGAAUUCAGUGAAUCAUCGAAUCUUUGAACGCACAUUGCGCCCUUUGGUAUUCCAUAGGGCAUGCCUGUUCGAGCGUCACUAACAACCCCAUCACAAAGAGUGUGGUAUUGGCAGAAGUGGGUAGGGCUGGCAUUGCUGGUCCCACUCUGCUGGAAUGAAUAGGCCGGAACUGUAGACCAUAGUAACAGACUUUCAGAGUAUUUUAAGAUGCUAAAUCAGUUUGUAUGCUGGUCAGAAUCCAUGCCAUUGGACCCCCAUACUGUGGAAAGCAGUAAUGUUGACCUCGGAUCAGGUAGGGAUACCCGCUGAACUUAAGCAUAUCAAUAAGCGGAGGAAAAGAAACCAACAGGGAUUGCCUUAGUAACGGCGAGUGAAGCGGCAAAAGCUCAAAUUUGAAAUCUGACACCUUUGGUGUUCGAGUUGUAAUUUGGAGAGGCAUCUUCUGGAGGGGGUCGGUCUAUGUUAUGUGCCUUGGAACAGGACAUCAUAGAGGGUGAGAAUCCCGUUCGUGGCCGGCUCUUCCCUUCUGUAAGAAGUGUCUUCUACGAGUCGAGUUGUUUGGGAAUGCAGCUCAAAAUGGGUGGUAAAUUUCAUCUAAAGCUAAAUAUUG